rnacentral:rRNA from 1 species
AUUAAACGCUGGCGGCACGCCUUACACAUGCAAGUCGAACGGCAGCACGGGGGCGAACCCUGGUGGGCGAGUGGCGGACGGGUGAGUAAAGCAUCGGAACGUAUCCUGGAGUGGGGGAGUAACGUAGCGAAAGUUACGCUAAUACCGCAUAUUCUGUGAGCAGGAAAGCAGGGGAUCGCAAGACCUUGCGCUCUGGGAGCGCCGAUGUCGGAUUAGCUAGUUGGUGGGGGUAAAGGCCUACCAAGGCGACGAUCCGUAGCGGGUCGUGAGAGGAUGAUCCGCCACACUGGGACUGAGACACGGCCCAGACUCCUACGGGAGGCAGCAGUGGGGAAUUUUGGACAAUGGGCGCAAGCCUGAUCCAGCCAUGCCGCGUGAGUGAAGAAGGCCUUGGUU